rnacentral:rRNA from 1 species
UGGGAAGUAUUGGGCAAUGGGCGCAAGCCUGACCCAGCAACGCCGCGUGAAGGAAGAAGGCUUUCGGUUGUAAACUUCUUUAUCAGGGACGAAACAAAUGACGGUACCUGAAGAAUAAGCCACGGCUAACUACGUGCCAGCAGCCGCGGUAAUACGUAGGUGGCGAGCGUUAUCCGGAUUUACUGGGUGUAAAGGGCGCGUAGGCGGGAAAGCAAGUCAGAUGUGAAAAUCUAUGGGCUUAACCCAUAAACUGCAUUUGAAACUGUUUUCUUGAGUGAUGGAGAGGCAAGCGGAAUUCCUAGUGUAGCGGUGAAAUGCGUAGAUAUUAGGAGGAACACCAGUGGCGAAGGCGGCUUGCUGGACAUUAACUGACGCUGAGGCGCGAAAGCGUGGGAGCAAACAGGAUUAGAUACCC